GCUCCUGUAGUUCAAUGGAUAGAACAAAAGUUUCCUAAACUUUAAAUUCGGGUUCGAUUCCCGGCGGGAGUA
rnacentral:tRNA from 1 species